GCCAUUUGUUAAAUUACCAUCAGGAGUGUGACCGAUUCGGAUGCCUGUAGGGGUAGGCUAUCCCUCUGUGUCCUGACAUUUCGACUGUGGAUACCACGUGAUCAUUACUCGAGUCGAACAAAGCCCACUAUUACCGAUACGCUGUGUACGGACAAAUCCAUACGUGAAAAGGCCUUCGAAAGAGGGCCUUUUUUCUUUAUUUCUUCAUAGCGAUCGGCAAGAGCAUACACCCGUACGAAGGGCAUCAGUGCGUGCGGCUGUGAGAUUCUUCUACGGCUGAGAACGUCAGCGCACAGGUACGUGCUUCGCGAUUAGAGUGAGCCAGUGGUACUCAGCGGUGACGUGACGCAACUCGGACUGACAGGUUAUCAUCUUUAAUUACCCCUUCCACGGAGCUGGAUGA